UACGAAGGGGGCUAGCGUUGCUCGGAAUUACUGGGCGUAAAGCGCACGUAGGCGGCUUCUUAAGUCGGUGGUGAAAUCCUGGAGCUCAACUCCAGAACUGCCUUCGAUACUGGGAGCUCGAGUCCGGGAGAGGUGAGUGGAACGUGCGAGUGUAGAGGUGAAAUUCGUAGAUAUUCGCAAGAACACCAGUGGCGAAGGCGGCUCACUGGCCCGGUACUGACGCUGAGGUGCGAAAGCGUGGGAGCAACAGGG
rnacentral:rRNA from 1 species